UUAAGCGACUAAGCGUACACGGUGGAUGCCUAGGCAGUCAGAGGCGAUGAAGGGCGUGCUAAUCUGCGAAAAGCGUCGGUAAGGUGAUAUGAACCGUUAUAACCGACGAUACCCGAAUGGGGAAACCCAGUGCAAUUCGUUGCACUAUUGCAUGGUGAAUACAUAGCCAUGCAAGGCGAACCGGGAGAACUGAAACAUCUAAGUACCCCGAGGAAAAGAAAUCAACCGAGAUUCCCCCAGUAGCGGCGAGCGAACGGGGAGGAGCCCAGAACCUGAAUCAGCGUAUGUGUUAGUGGAAGCGUCUGGAAAGUCGCACGGUACAGGGUGAUAGUCCCGUACACAAAAAUGCCUAUGUUGUGAGUUCGAUGAGUAGGGCGGGACACGUGACAUCCUGUCUGAAUAUGGGGGGACCAUCCUCCAAGGCUAAAUACUCCUGACUGACCGAUAGUGAACCAGUACCGUGAGGGAAAGGCGAAAAGAACCCCGGCGAGGGGAGUGAAACAGAACCUGAAACCGUGUACGUACAAGCAGUGGGAGCACCUUCGUGGUGUGACUGCGUACCUUUUGUAUAAUGGGUCAGCGACUUAUAUUUUGUAGCAAGGUUAACCGAAUAGGGGAGCCGUAGGGAAACCGAGUCUUAACUGGGCGUCUAGUUGCAAGGUAUAGACCCGAAACCCGGUGAUCUAGCCAUGGGCAGGUUGAAGGUUGGGUAACACUAACUGGAGGACCGAACCGACUAAUGUUGAAAAAUUAGCGGAUGACUUGUGGCUGGGGGUGAAAGGCCAAUCAAACCGGGAGAUAGCUGGUUCUCCCCGAAAGCUAUUUAGGUAGCGCCUCGUGAACUCAUCUUCGGGGGUAGAGCACUGUUUCGGCUAGGGGGUCAUCCCGACUUACCAAACCGAUGCAAACUCCGAAUACCGAAGAAUGUUAUCACGGGAGACACACGGCGGGUGCUAACGUCCGUCGUGAAGAGGGAAACAACCCAGACCGCCAGCUAAGGUCCCAAAGUCAUGGUUAAGUGGGAAACGAUGUGGGAAGGCACAGACAGCCAGGAUGUUGGCUUAGAAGCAGCCAUCAUUUAAAGAAAGCGUAAUAGCUCACUGGUCGAGUCGGCCUGCGCGGAAGAUGUAACGGGGCUAAACCAUGCACCGAAGCUGCGGCAGCGAACGUAUCACUUAAAACGCUUAACGUGACGGCAAAGCCGGCAUGUUCAAGCCACACUAAACGUUGAGUUGGCCGGUGUGCUGACAAACGAACAGGCGUUUUAAGGAUACGUUCGUUGGGUAGGGGAGCGUUCUGUAAGCCGUUGAAGGUGGCCUGUGAGGGCUGCUGGAGGUAUCAGAAGUGCGAAUGCUGACAUAAGUAACGAUAAUGCGGGUGAAAAACCCGCACGCCGGAAGACCAAGGGUUCCUGUCCAACGUUAAUCGGGGCAGGGUGAGUCGACCCCUAAGGCGAGGCUGAAAAGCGUAGUCGAUGGGAAACAGGUUAAUAUUCCUGUACUUGGUGUUACUGCGAAGGGGGGACGGAGAAGGCUAGGCUAGCCGGGCGACGGUUGUCCCGGUUUAAGCAUGUAGGCGGAGUGACCAGGUAAAUCCGGUUGCUUAUCAACGCUGAGGUGUGAUGACGAUGCACUACGGUGCAGAAGUAGUUGAUGCCAUGCUUCCAGGAAAAGCCUCUAAGCAUCAGGUAACAUGAAAUCGUACCCCAAACCGACACAGGUGGUCAGGUAGAGAAUACUCAGGCGCUUGAGAGAACUCGGGUGAAGGAACUAGGCAAAAUGGUGCCGUAACUUCGGGAGAAGGCACGCUGGCAUUAGGUAAAGGGACUUGCUCCCGGCGCCGAAGCCAGUCGCAGAUACCAGCUGGCUGCAACUGUUUAAUAAAAACACAGCACUGUGCAAACACGAAAGUGGACGUAUACGGUGUGACGCCUGCCCGGUGCUGGAAGGUUAAUUGAUGGGGUCAGCCGCAAGGCGAAGCUCUUGAUCGAAGCCCCAGUAAACGGCGGCCGUAACUAUAACGGUCCUAAGGUAGCGAAAUUCCUUGUCGGGUAAGUUCCGACCUGCACGAAUGGCGUAAUGAUGGCCAGGCUGUCUCCACCCGAGACUCAGUGAAAUUGAACUCGCUGUGAAGAUGCAGUGUACCCGCGGCAAGACGGAAAGACCCCGUGAACCUUUACUAUAGCUUGACACUGAACAUUGAGCCUUGAUGUGUAGGAUAGGUGGGAGGCAUAGAAGUGUGGACGCCAGUCUGCAUGGAGCCAACCUUGAAAUACCACCCUUUAAUGUUUGAUGUUCUAACUCGGCCCCGUAAUCCGGGGUGAGGACAGUGUCUGGUGGGUAGUUUGACUGGGGCGGUCUCCUCCCAAAGAGUAACGGAGGAGCACG
rnacentral:rRNA from 1 species